UACAGGGGGGGCAAGCGUUGUUCGGAAUUACUGGGCGUAAAGGGCGCGUAGGCGGCCUUCUAAGUCAGACGUGAAAUCCCCCGGCUUAACCUGGGAACUGCGUCUGAUACUGGGAGGCUUGAGUAUGGGAGAGGGAUGUAGAAUUCCAGGUGUAGCGGUGAAAUGCGUAGAUAUCCGGAGGAAUACCGGUGGCGAAGGCGGCAUCCUGGACCAUUACUGACGCUGAGGCGCGAAAGCUAGGGGAGCAAACGGG
rnacentral:rRNA from 1 species